rnacentral:rRNA from 1 species
AUUGAACGCUGGCGGCAGGCCUAACACAUGCAAGUCGAGCGGAGCGGCGGACGGGUGAGUAAUGUCUGGGAAACUGCCUGAUGGAGGGGGACAACAGUUGGAAACGACUGCUAAUACCGCAUACUGAAGGAGGGGAUUGCGUCUGAUUAGCUAGUUGGAGGGGUAACGGCCUACCAAGGCGACGAUCCGUAACUGGUCUGAGAGGAUGAUCAGUCACACUGGAACUGAGACACGGUCCAGACUCCUACGGGAGGCAGCAGUGGGGAAUAUUGGACAAUGGGCGAAAGCCUGAUCCAGCCAUGCCGCGUGUGUGAAGAAGGUCUUCGGAUUGUAAAGCACUUUAAGUUGGGAGGCGUUACCAACAGAAUAAGCACCGGCUAACUUCGUGCCAGCAGCCGCGGUAAUUC